rnacentral:lncRNA from 1 species
CUAACAUAAGAAGAAAGGCAAAAUCUGAAAUACGUACCCACUUAGAUCUUCUGCCAAUUUUUCUUCCAUAGUUUGGCUGUUGAGUUUGUAGUUGAGGAUGGAGACGAUGAUGCUAAUGAUUCAGAAGGCAGCGAGACCAAUGAUGGCUCCAAAGAAGACUCAACUAAAGACAGAGCUGCCUCAGUGGACGAUGAUAUACGUGUAAGAGUUUUUUCAGUUUUGUCUCUUCAAAAUUCAUUGAUCAUGUUUUGCUUAUUCCUAAUUUCACUUGUGUUUCUAUUUUACAGGAUGAAAUUUAAGGAGCCUACGUACGGUUGUUUUAACUUUUAAACAAAUUAUAUAAUGUUAUUGUAUUAUGUGUUUAUUUUAUUGUUGAAGUGUAGACGUUCAAGGUAUUUGUAUUGAAGCGUAAUCCGGAGAUUUUGAAGACGGUCAUUCAAUCUGCUGCUUUGGGUCCAAAUAAACCUAUUCAGACUUGUUUCUCACCAUUGAGGUAUGUAUAUUUAUAUUGAUCAUUUUUACUUUGUGUUUGUAACUUAUAAAAUUUAUCAAACAUUUUCUCUAUUUUUUUCGUCGAAUUAUGGUCUCAAGAAGAAUGCUGAAAUUGAAAAAAAUGACCAUUGUGUACAAGGGGAAGGUCUUUGAUUUUGAUCUUUCUGAAUUCAAGAUCUGUCUGUUGGUUACAUUUUUAAUCUAAUUUCUUUUGCCUUUUGCACUAAUUGAUCAUGAAUUUAAAGAUGCACAAUAUUCUGAAAAUUGCUGCUGGUUUUUUCUGCCACAACAGGCUUCACAAUGAGUUGCUUCAGCAGCUAUCACUAGAGUUUUUUCAUUUGUACUUGAGAUUUUCACCUAUACGUUUUGUUUUAGGGAAAAGAAACGGUUGGAGGUUGCAUGAAAUAUUUGUGGCUUAAAUGCUAUGAUUUUUCGUGACCCAAACUUUAAAACUAAUAGAUAAACAUGUUUCGUUUUAUUUUAGAUUUAUGAAAUAGUCAAAAAUUUAGAAUAUAUCUAGCUGUUGGUUUGUCCAUGUCUAAUUAUGUUUUUCUGUGUUUUAGUACAAGCAAGAGUGAGAAUGCGCUACGUCUUUAAAUUCAUUUGCAACUUUUAUUGUAAAUUAUGUUCUAUAUGCAAUAUUAAAUCGUAGUAAAAU